rnacentral:rRNA from 1 species
CAGUAGCCGCGGUAAUACGAAGGGUGCAAGCGUUAAUCGGAAUUACUGGGCGUAAAGCGCGCGUAGGUGGUUCAUUAAGUUGGAUGUGAAAGCCCUGGGCUCAACCUGGGAACUGCAUCCAAAACUGGUGAGCUAGAGUACGGUAGAGGGUAGUGGAAUUUCCUGUGUAGCGGUGAAAUGCGUAGAUAUAGGAAGGAACACCAGUGGCGAAGGCGACUACCUGGACUGAUACUGACACUGAGGUGCGAAAGCGUGGGGAGCAAACAGGAUUAGAUACCCCCGUAGUCCCUGUCUCUUAUAA